AGCGCAGGCGGGCGAUCAAGUUGGAAGUGAAAUCCAUGGGCUCAACCCAUGAACUGCUUUCAAAACUGGUCGUCUUGAGUAGUGCAGAGGUAGGCGGAAUUCCCGGUGUAGCGGUGGAAUGCGUAGAUAUCGGGAGGAACACCAGUGGCGAAGGCGGCCUACUGGGCACCAACUGACGCUGAGGCUCGAAAGUGUGGUAGCAAACA
rnacentral:rRNA from 1 species